AUUGAACGCUGGCGGCAGGCCUAACACAUGCAAGUCGAACGAGGGGCGGACGGGUGAGUUAUGUCUGGGAAACUGCCCGAUGGAGGGGGAUCACUACUGGAAACGGUAGCAAACCCCGCAUACCCUCGGAUGCGCCCAGAUGGGAUUCGCUAGUAGGUGGGGUAACGGCUCACCUGGGCGACGAUCCCUAGCUGGUCUGAGAGGAUGACCAGCCACACUGGAACUGAGACACGGUCCAGACUCCUACGGGAGGCAGCAGUGGGGAAUAUUGCACAAUGGGCGCAAGCCUGAUGCAGCCAUGCCGCGUGUAUGAAGAAGGCCUUCGGGUUGUAAAGUACUUUCAGCGAGGAGGCGUUACUCGCAGAAGAAGCACCGGCUAACUCCGUGCCAGCAGCCGCGGUAAUUC
rnacentral:rRNA from 1 species